rnacentral:rRNA from 1 species
CCUACGGGGCGCAGCAGUAGGGAAUCUUUCACAAUGGGCGAAAGCCUGAUGGAGCAACGCCGCGUGCAGGAUGAAGGCCUUCGGGUUGUAAACUGCUUUUAUAAGCGAGAAAUAUGAUGGUAACUUAUGAAUAAGGAUCGGCUAACUACGUGCCAGCAGCCGCGGUCAUACGUAGGAUCCGAGCAUUAUCCGGAGUGACUGGGUGUAAAGAGUUGCGUAGGUGGCAUAAUAAGUAGCUAGUGAAAUCUGGUGGCUCAACCAUUCAGACUAUUAGCUAAACUGUUAAGCUCGAGACCGUUAGGGGUAACUGGAAUUGCUAGUGUAGGAGUGAAAUCCGUAGAUAUUAGAAGGAACACCAAUAGCGUAGGCAGGUUGCUGGGACGGUUCUGACACUAAGGCACGAAAGCGUAGGGAGCAAACGGGAUUAGAUACCCUUGUAGUC